CGUGUAAAAAUGUAAAUAAUAUCAUUUACUUACUGGAAAAUUUAAUUUUUAUUUAAUUAAUUUAGGUAAAUGGGUUACCAAACCAUAAUUUAUAACCGAUGGAAAAAGGUAUUAGCGGAAACCGGCGUCACCGGCUGUGAUGUUUCAACCAGAACAACCGUCCAUUUCAUACAUCGAACAAUCUAAUAUUAUACCGAUGAAUUGACAAAUUGAUUAAACAAAAUAAGAAUGUAAAAGAAUAGUAAUAACAUGAAUAUGUUCAGCGAUAGAUAAUAUAUAUAAGUACAAUAUCUAUAUUAUUUAUUUUUAAACUAAAUACCUAAAUACAAAUUAUUAUUUUUAAAAACGCGAUUAGAUAUUCAACUACAGAAUACAUUAUAACAUACGAGUAAAUAUUAUUACGCUGUAUUCAUGUUACACAAAUAUUAUAAGUAAGUAUAGGUAUGUGACGAAAAGUUGUUAAAAAAGUAUUUUUUUCUUAUAGGUACCGUACUGUCGUUGUAGGAAAUAAUCGCGGUUUAAUAUAUACGUUUACUAUAAAUCGUACAGACUAUAUUUUUACGCGUACAUGAUAGUUAUAAGAGUAGAACGUGGAUUUAUAUGCACUAAAAAGUAUUAAAAUAUACUGUAUAAAUGUAUAUAAUAUGCAGUAAAAAAAAUAUAAUAUAUUUAUUUAUAAAUUAAAACAUUUUAGGAGCAUGAAUAGUUUUGGGCCACGUGCCAUGUGUUUACAUAGCUGCCACCACUGCCAUUCAAACCUUUCCAACCCACAAUGCCCACCGCGAACUCGGUGUACUUUAAUCACGCCUCUUUUCUUUUUUUUUUUUUUGUUUUAAUAUUUUAUUUUGCCACUACCGCCGUUGUCCGUACCUAUUUUAACCUAACCAAUAAUUAGUUUAAUUCUUUCCGUGCCUACUACAGGCUUGUUAUUACGCGCUCGACAUGUUCCCCUCCUCUUCUGUACGUUAUCCUCACAUAUAAUAAAAUAAUGAAUAGACCAUUCCUAGAUCUGUAAAAAAAGUUGGUUCCGAAUCGGGCGAUUUGUUUAUAUUAUUUGAUAUGAUGGUAAAACAACAGAAUCGCCUAACUAAUAAAAGAUAACGU